AGCCUCAUUCUAGAUUAGAGUAGGCACUGUUGAUUGGUGUCCAAGAUUGGUUAAUGUGGUUAAAAUUGAGACACAGGUCAUGCAUCCAUCACAGUAAACAUUUAUAGUGGUGACAAUGAGACCUGUAACAUUU
rnacentral:snoRNA from 1 species